ensembl:lncRNA
CUCCAAUGUACCGUCCAUGUAAAAAACCUGUCUGAUUAGAAUGAAUCAUGUCUGACAAUUGAUGUUGUUCUUCUCAACUGUUCUCUUUUCAGCUUUUUUAGGAAACAGUUUUGGGGAUUCAAUAAACCCUGCGACUACAGAAGAGCUUGUUCAGGAGGGAAGGAAUGUCCAUCUCUUCUGCAAAUAUGAUGGUACUGUUUACAAUCUACAGUGGUACCGCCAAUAUCCCAGAUCCAAACCAGAAUUCCUCUUGUACAUCACAUCACAUCCUAUUCUGACAGUUUCCAUUGAUAAAGUGGACAAACUUGUGGAUCUGAAGAUCUCUUCUGCUGAUGUGACAGACUGCUGUUUACUACUGUGCCAUGAAGACCACAGUGACAGGAAACUCUGACACACUGUACGAAAACCUGUCAAGAACCAUGGGAGGAAACCGAUAUCUUGUAUGACAUACAUAAGUAACAUACUUACUGUAUGUUAAGGGGAGGGACUUAUGGUAGAGGAUGAGUUGAACAGCAGUUGAACAGCAGCAUAGAACAUUUAAAACAGGAGGCUGCUUAGAUCUUUCUUUCAGUUUGUUUCUCUUCAUCUAAGAUGCAGUUGCUGAAUUCAGCAUUGUUCCUGACCAUAUUUAUGGGUUUGUGAUACAGUACAUUUCCAUGAAAUGUAUUGCCAUACUAGCCAAAUUUCAAUUAAAUUCAAUUUCAGUACAUUUUCAUGAAUAAUUAAGUGUGUGUGUAUUAAAACCAUUCUCUAUGCAGGUGUCAGUUGUGAGGACCUCACUCCACUCAAGAAAGAAGAGUACUGUUUAGAGGUAACCCCUGUUACCCUGUCUUACAACUACUCCAGAACAGCUACUGCUGGAGAUGAAUUCUAUUGGUAUCGACAGGACACAGCACAAAGGCCAGAGUUCCUCCUGUACAUCUUGGGUUCAGGGUUUAUAAAUAAAGCAGAUCCUCUGAACACUCGAAUAUCUGCAAAACUGAACAAAGAGAAAAACCGUUUGGAUCUGGAGAUCUCCUCUGCUGUAGUGACAGACUCUGCUCUGUACUACUGUGCUGUGAGGCCCACAGUGACAGGAAACCUACACACACUGUUCAAAAACCUCAGCAGGGACCACAUCAGCAGGAAUGUAUCUAGUUUUUGUUUGAACUUGUGCCUAAC